GACAUCGGACGCUAUGGCACACUCGUGCCUUCUGUGCCACCGAAGCCCCGAAGUGCCCAGGCAUAUACCUUCACAUGUUUCCCUUCAGUAGGAAAUUGCUGGACAGGCGGACCAGCGCACCGGAAUUGUACUGGCGAAGCCACAAGCAACUCAAAGAAUCUGUGUAAUUGUCGCACUUUGAACAAUCAUGCUUCUACAAAGGCCACAGCAGAAAAACAGUCUGAUGCCGAGUAUUUCUGUGCCACGAAGUAAUCAAGAGGCGAGUGCCUAAUGCGGACGAAAUCGAGUGCAUCGAGACUUAGAACGACAGAAAGCUGAGCUAGUUGAUAUGCAAUGGCAAGCCCUUCCGUGUGUUCCAAAGCCACAGCAGCUCCCUCAUACAGACUCCGCAAGCCAAGAGGCCGUGGAGGCAAAUGCAGACAGCCAGCACACCUCGAACAGCCACCUUGACUGCGGGUGUGUCACCCUAGUCGCCAAGGAAACAUUUGAGGGAAAGCGACAGGCAAUGUGAACAGCCACUUCUCCAUGUAAACGAUACUCUUUCUCUCGGAUGACUCCUACGUUCGCCACGCCAGCACACUUGUGCACAAAGAUGCCGCGGAGGCACGUGCAGGUCAGAGGCCAGAAGUAGUGGCACUGGUGUCGACAUUCGCCCAAUUUCUUUUUCUUACACUGAGGCAGCCAGCACACCUCGAACAGCCACCUUGACUGUGAGUGUGUCAGUAGAUUCCUGUUGUACAUAUGCUCAUAAUAAACUUCAGUAAAUUUGAAC